UGCAAUUCGUUGCACUAUCGUUAACUGAAUACAUAGGUUAACGAGGCGAACCGGGGGAACUGAAACAUCUAAGUACCCCGAGGAAAAGAAAUCAACCGAGAUUCCCCCAGUAGCGGCGAGCGAACGGGGAGCAGCCCAGAGUCUGAAUCAGCUUGUGUGUUAGUGGAACGGUCUGGAAAGUCCGACGGUACAGGGUGAUAGUCCCGUACACCAAAAUGCACAGGCUGUGAACUCGAAGAGUAGGGCGGGACACGUGGUAUCCUGUCUGAAUAUGGGGGGACCAUCCUCCAAGGCUAAAUACUCCUGACUGACCGAUAGUGAACCAGUACCGUGAGGGAAAGGCGAAAAGAACCCCGGCGAGGGGAGUGAAAAAGAACCUGAAACCGUGUACGUACAAGCAGUGGGAGCACCUUCGGGUGUGACUGCGUACCUUUUGUAUAAUGGGUCAGCGACUUAUAUUCUGUAGCAAGGUUAACCGUAUAGGGGAGCCGCAGGGAAACCGAGUCUUAACUGGGCGUUAAGUUGCAGGGUAUAGACCCGAAACCCGGUGAUCUAGCCAUGGGCAGGUUGAAGGUUGGGUAACACUAACUGGAGGACCGAACCGACUAAUGUUGAAAAAUUAGCGGAUGACUUGUGGCUGGGGGUGAAAGGCCAAUCAAACCGGGAGAUAGCUGGUUCUCCCCGAAAGCUAUUUAGGUAGCGCCUCGUGAAUUCAUCUUCGGGGGUAGAGCACUGUUUCGGCUAGGGGGUCAUCCCGACUUACCAACCCGAUGCAAACUACGAAUACCGAAGAAUGUUAUCACGGGAGACACACGGCGGGUGCUAACGUCCGUCGUGAAGAGGGAAACAACCCAGACCGCCAGCUAAGGUCCCAAAGUCAUGGUUAAGUGGGAAACGAUGUGGGAAGGCACAGACAGCCAGGAUGUUGGCUUAGAAGCAGCCAUCAUUUAAAGAAAGCGUAAUAGCUCACUGGUCGAGUCGGCCUGCGCGGAAGAUGUAACGGGGCUAAACCAUGCACCGAAGCUGCGGCAGCGACACUAUGUGUUGUUGGGUAGGGGAGCGUUCUGUAAGCCUGCGAAGGUGACCUGUGAGGGUUGCUGGAGGUAUCAGAAGUGCGAAUGCUGACAUAAGUAACGAUAAAGCGGGUGAAAAGCCCGCUCGCCGGAAGACCAAGGGUUCCUGUCCAACGUUAAUCGGGGCAGGGUGAGUCGACCCCUAAGGCGAGGCCGAAAGGCGUAGUCGAUGGGAAACAGGUUAAUAUUCCUGUACUUGGUGUUACUGCGAAGGGGGGACGGAGAAGGCUAUGUUAGCCGGGCGACGGUUGUCCCGGUUUAAGCAUGUAGGCUGGUUGUCCAGGCAAAUCCGGAUAAUCAAGGCUGAGGUGUGAUGACGAGGCACUACGGUGCUGAAGUAACAAAUGCCCUGCUUCCAGGAAAAGCCUCUAAGCAUCAGGUAACAUCAAAUCGUACCCCAAACCGACACAGGUGGUCAGGUAGAGAAUACCAAGGCGCUUGAGAGAACUCGGGUGAAGGAACUAGGCAAAAUGGUGCCGUAACUUCGGGAGAAGGCACGCUGGUGUGUAGGUGAAGUCCCUGCGGAUGGAGCUGAGACCAGUCGAAGAUACCAGCUGGCUGCAACUGUUUAUUAAAAACACAGCACUGUGCAAACACGAAAGUGGACGUAUACGGUGUGACGCCUGCCCGGUGCCGGAAGGUUAAU
rnacentral:rRNA from 1 species